rnacentral:snRNA from 1 species
GAACAUCAAGGGCAGUGUCAUCAUGAACACGAAUAGAAGCAUGAAAUUUGAAAUUCUCAGUGUGUCCGCAAAGAGGAGAUUGACUAGGUUGCCGGCGGCAGAGUUCUGACGAGUGAUAUCCG